AAUAUACUCCCCCCGUUCCAAAUUUUUUGUCUUAGAUUUGUCUAGAUACGGAUAUGCCUAAUACUAAAACAUGACUUGAUACAUCCGUCUCUAGACAAAUCUAAGACAAGAAUUUUGGGAUAGAGGGAGUAUAAA
rfam:Triticum aestivum genome assembly, contig: Triticum_aestivum_CS42_TGACv1_scaffold_472962_6AL